rnacentral:rRNA from 1 species
UACGUAGGCAGCAAGCGUUGUUCGGAGUUACUGGGCGUAAAGGGUGCGUAGGCGGGUUUUUAAGUCAGGGGUGAAAUCCUGGAGCUCAACUCCAGAACUGCCUUUGAUACUGAAGAUCUCGAGUCCGGGAGAGGUGAGUGGAACUGCGAGUGUAGAGGUGAAAUUCGUAGAUAUUCGCAAGAACACCAGUGGCGAAGGCGGCUCACUGGCCCGGUACUGACGCUGAGGCACGAAAGCGUGGGGAGCAAACAGG